UCUUAAAUACCAAACACGGAUCUGUGUACUCGUGAUCCUCGGGGACCAUAUGGUCUUUCUGAGUUGAUCGCUUGUACGACAUCGACUUCUCCCCCAAGGAGCGCAUUUAUUUCAUAAUGUAAAUCAUCCAGUCGACAGAUCUGAGAUUAAAAUUCACUUUCUUUCUUAACCAUGUUCAUUUUGAGCUCGUUCUUCUCCUCCCUUACCGGAGUCGAUGGAGAACUGAGCUCGGUGGCGGCGUUUCCUUCCUGUCUUCACGGACCGGAAUAGCGGUGGUUGGAAGAUUGUGAGGGCGUCAUAUUCCCAAGCGUCUGCUGAGGCCGUUGGCUGGUGAAGCGGGGGACAAACCAUGACUUUUGCCCACAUCU
rnacentral:sRNA from 1 species